AUUGAACGCUGGCGGCAGGCCUAACACAUGCAAGUCGAGCGGAUGAAGGGAGCUUGCUCCUGGAUUCAGCGGCGGACGGGUGAGUAAUGCCUAGGAAUCUGCCUGGUAGUGGGGGAUAACGUCCGGAAACGGGCGCUAAUACCGCAUACGUCCUGAGGGAGCAAGUGGGGGAUCUUCGGACCUCACGCUAUCAGAUGAGCCUAGGUCGGAUUAGCUAGUUGGUGGGGUAAAGGCCUACCAAGGCGACGAUCCGUAACUGGUCUGAGAGGAUGAUCAGUCACACUGGAACUGAGACACGCUCCAGACUCCUACGGGAGGCAGCAGUGGGGAAUAUUGGACAAUGGGCGAAAGCCUGAUCCAGCCAUGCCGCGUGUGUGAAGAAGGUCUUCGGAUUGUAAAGCACUUUAAGUUGGGAGGAAGGGCAGUAAGUUAAUACCUUGCUGUUUUGACGUUACCAACAGAAUAAGCACCGGCUAACUUCGUG
rnacentral:rRNA from 1 species